rnacentral:rRNA from 1 species
UUUAUGUUACGACUUAUCUUACCUUAAUAGUAAGAGCGACGGGCGAUGUGUGCAUAUUUUAGAGCUAAAAUCAAAUUAAUUAUCUUUUUAAUUUUACUAUCAAAUCCACCUUCAUAAAACAUUGCAAAUAUCAAUCCGUUUAAAUAAAUUUAUUGUAACCCAUUUCUACUUAAGCAUUAGCUACACCUUGAUCUGAUAUAAAUUUUUAUAAAAAAUACUGAAAAUUAUUAUUCUAAUAAAAUAUUCUAAUAACGACGGUAUAUAAACUGAUUUACUAACUCAAGUAAGGUCCAUCGUGGAUUAUCGAUUACAGAACAGGUUCCUCUGAAUAGACUAAAAUACCGCCAAAUUUUUUAAGUUUCAAGAACAUAACUAAUACUACCUUGGUAAAAAAUUACAUUUUAAAUAAUAGGGUAUCUAAUCCUAGUUUA